AUUUUCAAAUUUGGAUGAUAUACCACAGAAAAUUAUUUGAUUCUUGUCUUUUAAAGAAUUUCCAUGAUACAUCAAAACAAUCAUUUAGAGGAUUUUAAUGAUUCCUAGAAGCAAGUUCACUUUUUGACUCUCUGUAUUUGGUGCAAUCAUUUGAUUUGGUCAUCAAAAUAACAAUGAAUAGAAAAAUAAUGGUUUGUUCGUUUAUCUAUGGUCAAUCUACGGUAGAAGAGAAGUUCCAUCGGAACAAUUAUUUAUUUCAGUUCAGAGUUCCUCCUUUCUUUCUUUUUUUAUUUUUUUUUUAUUUUUUUUGGGAGAAAAAGGGGGGAAAUGACAAGAAGAUAUUGGAACAUCAAUUUGGAAGAUAUGAUGGAGGCAGGAGUUCAUUUUGGCCAUGGUACUAGGAAAUGGAAUCCUAAAAUUGCACCUUAUAUCUCUACAAAAGCGUAAAGGUAUUCAUAUUACAAGUCUUUCUAGAAUUGCUCGUUUCUUAUCUGAAACUUGUGAUUUGGUUUUUGAUGCAGGAAGUAGGGAUAAACAAUUCUUAAUUGUUGGUACCACAAAUAAAGUAGCUGAUUUAGUUGCAUGGGUUGCAAUAAAGGUCUGGUGUCAUUAUUUUAAUAAAAAAUGGCUUGACGGUAUGUUAACGAAUUGUUCCACUACAGAAAGAAUAUUCGCUUUAUAUUGGUCAACCAAUCUUGUUAUUCAAAUAAAAAUUGGAAUGAGAUAUAUGUUUACCACGUGUAAUUAAAUAAAAAACAUGAAAAACUAUUCUACUUUCAAUUGAUUUUAUUCAA
rnacentral:lncRNA from 1 species